rnacentral:rRNA from 1 species
GACGAACUCUGGCGGCGUGCUUAACACAUGCAAGUCGAACGGAAAGGCCCUGCUUUUGUGGGGUGCUCGAGUGGCGAACGGGUGAGUAACACGUGAGUAACCUGCCCUUGACUUUGGGAUAACUUCAGGAAACUGGGGCUAAUACCGGAUAGGAGCUCCUGCCGCAUGGUGGGGGUUGGAAAGUUUCGGCGGUUGGGCAUGGACUCGCGGCUAAUCAGCUUGUUGGUGGGGUAGUGGCUUACCAAGGCUUUGACGGGUAGCCGGCCUGAGAGGGUGACCGGCCACAUUGGGAAUGGGAUACGGCCCAGACUGCAACGGGCGGUAGAGGCGGAGAAGAUUGCAUAAUGGGCGGAAGCCGGAUGCAGCAACGCCGCGUGCGGGAAGACGGCCUUCGGGUUGUAAACCGAUUGCGCCUGUGACGAAGCGUGAGUGACGGUAAUGGGUAAAGAAGCACCGGCUAACUACGUG